ACGCCACGUGGCAUGUGGGAUCUCAGUUCCUCAACCUGGGAUCAAACCCGUGCCCUCUGCAGUGGAACCUCGGAGUCUUAAUCACUGGACCACCAGGGAAGUCCCCCAUGAUUGAUUUCUAGCAAGACAGUAUCCUCUGCUGUGAGAUGGAUAGAGGCUGGAGCUGAGCUCACGGAGCACCCACCCCAUCAUGCCCAGCACCACCUUUGCUCCAAGCUGGGCCUCAGGAAGGCAUGCAACCCUGCCAUGGCUGAAAACAGGGUUCUCCAAGCAAGAAGCAAAAUGUCCGUGUUUUAUAAUCUGCAACUCACAUCACUGAGGUUUUCAAGUAAACAGACUAAACAUUCUUUUGGAUAAUUCUACACAUUAAUCCUUCCCUGGCUUCUUUGCCCAUCUGAGAACACAACUCUAAAGAACUGGGCCAUCAGACACUCUUCUUUGCUAAAGUCUAUACCCAAAGCCAGUGCAAAAUCCCUCUUAAGUCUGACUAACACCCUCAUUUGUUCUGAACUUAUUAUCUCUGCAAGGCCUGGCGUUUGCAGUCACAAAUACCAGAGGUUACCAAAUGCCCGGCCUGUUUCAAAAUUUCUAUUCAUGAUUGCUCACUGCUUUUUGAGAAGUUUUCCUUUCUCCACUGGAAUUUUCCAUAGAGUACUCUACCCUAAAGGUGAAUUUUUCUGGUGAGAUAAUCCAAAUAUCCCAUUUACAGAUAUUUUUUUAAAAAUCAUGACUGUGCUUGCCAUUUUUAGCAGGAAAAAAAGUCCAAAAUCAGAAGAUCCACCUCUUCUACAUCUAAUUGCCCUAGGAAGUGACUCUCUAGGGUAAGAGUCAG